CCCAGGAGGAUGCUGAAGGCAAGGAGGCGGCUCUCGGGUGCUGUGCCAGGGCAGUGAUGGUGCUCCCAUGCAGGACUCCUCGGCUGCGGGGGAUCCUCUGCUCUCCGUGCUCAGCCGGCUGCGAGGCUUCCAAGUUUUGUUCAGUUAUUCCUGAGUUUGGAAGAUAAAGAGUAGGUAGACCAAGACAAUGACUCAGAGAUGGAUUAGAAGAACAAACUGGAUUGCUAAGUCUUUGGGGGAAGAAGACUGUAUGUUCCUGGGCUUGUAUAGAAACCAGGAGACGUGUGCCAUAAUUCCGAAUCUUGUGAAAUGGGUGCAUUUCCUGGGAAGACUGUCAAAAGAGAAAAUUUCAGUGAUGGCUUGCCCCACUCCUACGAUUAUUCCUAUGGUCAAAAUAAUUGCCUGUUGUACAAAUAGAAGUGGGCACCUCUUCUCCCCCAGAACAGUACCCUGAAGGCAUUCAGCAGAAGACUUCAAGAAACAAAUAUUUCCAUCUUCCUUCUGCUCCACCACAGCUGUGGAACCAAGAGAAACCAAUGGAAGCAUUUCAACUGGAACAGAAAUCAGAAGCCUCUUCUGCUAAAAGAUGUUCAAAAGGAGCAGAAUUGUUGGCAUCCCGACAAUUCCCACAUCACAUAGACAGGAAAAGCACUAUUGGUGCAGGCCUUCUUCUGGAUCAGCUUCAGGCUCUUUCCCACCCUUCCACCUGCCCUGCUAACAGGAACAGCAACUGAUGCAGUUGCUGAUGCUUCAGAAACAGUAAGGCUCAAAGCCCAGCGCUGUUACACAGCACCAGCAAAAGCCACAGCAGCAGCACAUGUUUAAUAAAGGUAUUCCUAGCAGCCUGCAUGCUCGAUGUGCUGUGAUUACAAGCAGGGCAGCAGCGCGGUGCAGCACCGGCUGCCCCCUGACAGCUCUGCUCCCCUGGAAGUGCGGGGCUGACAGCUCCGCGAGGAGAGCAACAGAGCUGGAGGCAGCUUUGCUGGCAGCUGGCCUGCAUUUGCAGAGCUCUCACCCAGACCGUGCUGGUGCAUAUGAGCUUUCUGAACAACAUGUGAAAGCCCAGGGCAAGAGGCAAACAAAUUCCUCUUCUCGUUGGGGGAAAACAGAAUGCUGUGUUGUAAUUAAAUUUGCCAGGCACUACUGUAGUAUGGUUGUGCAGAUGAGAGGAUGCAGAUAUAUAUUCCUGGGCAGCCUACUGUUCAUGUUAAAGCACUGGAAGAUGGUUCAAUGGUUGUUUUUGAUUUGUUGUGUUGUUGUUGUUUUGUUUUUAGUGGUGUUUGGGGUGCUUGUUUUUUUCACAAACAGUAGCAUUAAUGAGCUUGUCUUGCCUCAUCCAGGUAGACUUGUCUAGUCCUGCCUACUCCAAAAGGCAGUUUUUCAGAAGUAUAGUUUGCAAGAUUAUUUUUUUUUCUAAGCUUACAGAAGGAUGCGAUUUUAACAUUAAUAGAAACGCAAAUAAAACUUCUCUCCAGACCUUACCUUAAGUAACAGCAAUCUUGUUUUCCUGACUCAGGGGGGAAAUAAAAAUAAAAACCAUGAACAAAACAAAACAAAUAAACAAACAAAAACCUGCUAAAGCAGA